GGAUCAACUGCAGUUUAACAAUAUAUAAGACCCAUAAAAGAGAAAGAGGGCGGUGGAUAGGUAACUGCACUGUCAUUAUACAAAUGGAAACAAAUGACAUUAACACACUUAAAAAUGUUCAAAUUGAAACCAUAUAAGUUUAUGGCAAUUUACUUGGGUUAAAGAAAAUGUAAAGUUCAUAUUAAAUUUAAAAUACAAUGUAUUUACCGUGUGUUAUACAUGACUAGGUUCAUACAACUGAAAUUCAGUAAUCAAGCAGUUCCUCUCAGAAAGCAAAAAUAAAACAAAAGUUGUAAAUGGUUGAAUGAGAGACCAAAAUUCUUGAGGGAUGCCAGCAAGAACUUACCCAUUGUAAAGCUGGCAGAAAACACGGGGAAGUCAACACCAACUUGCUCAAUUCUGUGCACAAAUUCCCCAUGUUUCUGCCAUCUUCUCAACAAGUAUGCACGUGUGCAGGCUGUCCCCUUUCACUUGUUUUAAAAUUUACAUUUACUUAUUCUUCACAUAUACAUACCCGCAGUUGUCAUUAUGUACCCCGUGUUCAUUAACGGAACAGGUGGAGCUGAGAGGCAAGAAUCAACUGCCCAGUAAGAGUAUGUAGUCUCACUCUAGUCUUAUGUCUUCUUUUAUCACCAGCUCUCUACCUCUAACUCUCUAUCUUCAUUUUGUCAGUCUAUAUUCUUCUUUCAAUAUUCUUGAUCUUUAUUCAGCAUGUAAUGUCUGUUUCUUCUUAACCUGUAUUAAGCUGUCAGGAAAGAAAAAUUUAACCCUGGAAUGGAAUAAUGAGUGGUAACAUUUGCAGCAAUCUGUCAGCCAUGACCACUGCAGCUGUUCCACUUCUUCCAAACACUACAGAAGUGUUUGUUUGACGAACGACACCAAUCUGGAUGAUGUGCAGCACUAUCUUCUGUGAUGCUGAACCUAACUGUGGGAUUGAGGGGUGCAAGGACAUCGGAUUAAGGACACUUUAAACCCCCAGACUUACCUCGAGUCAUGAAGUCUGAUGCUGCGCUAUGUUGCAGCCCUACUUCCACUUUACCUGAAGCUGGAUCUUCUUCCAUCUUUUGAUGAACAUGAAAGGACAGAAACCCUAGCUUACAGUGUGAUUGGACCAAUCAUGAUGAAAGGCCUAAGUGCCACUGGAGGCAAGAGUCAGCAUCUUCUUUCAGCAUGAUGGGGCACCUUUUGGUCACCAAAUUAUGGAUUACGUGAGAAUUACAAAAAUCGUUGGAUUGGUCAUCCUGGCCCAAUACCUUGGCUGCCCAUAUCUCCAGACUUAACUGUACUUGAUUUAUUUUUAUGGGGCCUAAUGAAAGAUAUAACCUCCAGGACCAAAAUACACACAAGAUAGGAACUCCUGCAUUGGAUUAUGGAUGCUGCUGCUUACAUACAAAAACACAUUCAAUCAUAAGUAAAUGAGAAAGACUGUCAAUCAAUAACUGUAGAAGACAUUCUGAACUAUAAGCUGUCUCAUAAAAUAUAGCAAUAAAUUAAUCUAAUACUCA